UUUCCGUAGGUGAACCUGCGGAAGGAUCAUUCAUAAUAAAGUGUUUUAUGGCACUUUUUAAAAAUCCAUAUCCACCUUGUGUGCAAUGUUAGAUCUCGUCAAUCUUGGCGAGAUUUUUAUACAUCAACUCAUUCUUUAACUAAUUUGUCUGAAAAAUAUUAUGAAUACUUAAUUCAAAAUACAGCUUUCAACAACGGAUCUCUUGGCUCUC
rnacentral:misc_RNA from 1 species